UGCCUGUGAUGAUUUGCCAUGCUAAUACCGAAUCCCCCUAGGCAGAGCAGACGGCUGUGCUCCGGGGUUUCAUGAAUUGAUCUUACUACUUGCACUGAGGCAC